rnacentral:rRNA from 1 species
AGUGAACGCUGGCGGUAGGCCUAACACAUGCAAGUCGAACGGCAGCACAGUAAGAGCUUGCUCUUACGGGUGGCGAGUGGCGGGCGGGUGAGGAAUACAUCGGAAUCUACUUUUUCGUGGGGGAUAACGUAGGGAAACUUACGCUAAUACCGCAUACGACCUACGGGUGAAAGCAGGGGAUCUUCGGACCUUGCGCGAUUGAGUGAGCCGAUGUCGGAUUAGCUAGUUGGCGGGGUAAAGGCCCACCAAGGCGACGAUCCGUAGCUGGUCUGAGAGGAUGAUCAGCCACACUGGAACUGAGACACGGUCCAGACUCCUACGGGAGGCAGCAGUGGGGAAUAUUGGACAAUGGGCGCAAGCCUGAUCCAGCCAUACCGCGUGGGUGAAGAAGGCCUUCGGGUUGUAAAGCCCUUUUGUUGGGAAAGAAAAGCAGCAGGUUAAUACCCCGCUGUUCUGACGGUACCCAAAGAAUAAGCACCGGCUAACUUCGUG